rnacentral:rRNA from 1 species
GACGAGCUCUUCAAACGUUAUUCGGUAUCACUGGGCUUAAAGAGUUCGUAGGCGGCUUGACAGGUGAGGUGUGAAAGCCCACGGCCUAACCGUGGAAUUGCGCUUCAAACCGUCGAGCUAGAGGGAUGCAGGGGUAUGCGGAACAGAUGGUGGAGCGGUGAAAUGCGUUGAUAUCAUCUGGAACACCGGUGGCGAAAGCGGCAUACUGGGCAUUUUCUGACGCUGAGGAACGAAAGCUAGGGUAGCGAACGGG